UGAAUUUUCGCAUACCUUUUUUAAAAAAAAUUCAGUUCAAAUUAUUUUGAAAAGAUAAAAUUAUUAAAACCUGCAAACAUUAGGAAUUCUGAAAUUAAUCUCAAAAGGAAGCAUUUAAAUUUUAAAUGGCAAGUGCCUUAUCAGCAGAAAUCUGAUGAAACUCUUAUACCAAAGAAAUCCCCAGGCCUUACUGUAUCUAGGAAGCAUUUGGUGUAUAGUUAUUUAAAACAACAAUCAUUUCUAUACUAAUUAAGACAAUUAAAAUUAUAGAUCUUUCACUUGUUUAUGGCUAAAUAUGAAGCCAAAUUCACCAAAAUGGAAACACACAGCUACGGAAGCACCUUUACUACAUUUUUGAAGAGAACCAUCAAUGCCAGUAAAUCUCCUAAAUUUUCAACAUUGUAUUUCAAAACCUCUACACAGAGUAUCUUCAUUUUCUUAGUAAAGGAAGUUACAGUAGUAAAUACCAGAUCAGUUACUGAUGCACCCAUAUUCUUUCAGAUACUGAAAAAAACAGGCCUUGUCUACACUUGGAAACACAUGUCAUCUAAACAACUUGUCAAACACUCAGUGCAGACAAGGACAAAACUGUGCUCUAUAUUACAGACUACUACACAUAUGGACCUAAUCUAGGGUGCUGCCAUGAUUGAAUGGUGAGGUAUCAAACAUAUGUCCUUUUCUUCACUGAGAUCUAGUUCUCAUUCAAAACUGUAUUGUGUUUUUAACACAAUAUGUUUUUCUAAUGUAGACAAGCCCUCAAAAGUUUAAUGCUUUGUAUAUACAUACAUAUAUAUAUAUAUAUGUGUGUAUACAUAUAUAUAGACAGGCAAAGAACAAAAUCUUUAUUCCUCAAAUAAAUCUGAGGCUUCUUUACUAACAUUUGUUCUACCACAUUUAUUAUAGAACUAGGACAGAAUCCUGUAUGAGCUAGAUUUUGGAGUCUGAAAAAAAGUCUGAACCGCACAGAGUUUGAAGUUGUUCUAUCCUUGCUUUAAAUCUUAAAAAAAAAAAUCUAGCAACUGAUUUUCACUUUAAAAUAUUGAUCUGAGAAAACUACUUUCCAUUUUAUUCUUUUCCUCUGGGCUGACUAAAGAAUCCAACAUAGUAUUUUCAAAGGUUAACUAAAACAGAAGAUUAACAAGAUUUUUACCUGUGAAAACACACAUUAAUAAAACAAUUGUUCAGAGUGGACAUCUGUAUAUACAAAACAGAUGUAUGAAUGUAAUAUAGAGGCAACAUGCAAGAUCAUAUGUGCAACAUUUUUGUGAUUUAGUGCAAUAUUGCACAAUGAAAACAGUCUAAGGCUCUUAGUAAUUUUUAAAUGUGUAGUCAAGUGUUGGCAAGCUUUCAGUUAUUUCAUGCUGACAUACAUACUACAGUUUCAUACAGAAAAAACAUAUUACAUAUUCAAAGACUUGCAAAGAAGCAAGAAUUUCCACAGACAAAUUAGUGAAGUGGUUAUAAAGACCACAAAACAGCUACUACAAAUACUCUCUUUAGAGAACUGAUUCUCCUUGACUGAACUACUAAAUGGAUUUGGGGAUGAGGAGAGUAAAUGAUUAUUAGUUUUCAGUAAAAUGCUACCGAUAUCUAAAUCUUAUAUCCUUACUUACCCAGUGUCCCACAAUGAAUAAAAUCUGCCACUCCAAGGAGCAAUAUAACCUGAAAAAGAGAAGGAGGAAGAAAAACCUUUUUGCUGCCUAGGUUUUAAAAUGAAGUAAUUUUUCUACUCCCUCAAGUUAUAAUACAAACCCAAAAAAUUUUCAUUGAACUUGUAAUAUAUGUGAACCAUACCUACUGCAUUAGGCAGGCUAUAAAAUCUACCAACCAUGAAGCAAGCUGGUUUUAGAACACACUUACAGGAUCACAUUGUACUCUUUAUGCACAAUCUGAGUAUCAAGACACGCACACUCCCAAAAGUCAAAGCAAUGCAAUACUAAAUAUUUCUCAAAUAAUAUGACAGAUAGCAAACUAUACUCUAUGAAGGAGUAUGAGAAAAAGAAAACAUAAUUGAUAAGAAAGUAUUUCAUUUUUCUGAAAUGUCAGAGCAGGAAACUGGAAACAUUCUAUAGCCAAAACACAAACACUAAAUGAAAUGCUGGUUUCCUUUUAUUUCUGUCCUGGUGAAUCUACUUGUGGCAUGGAAUAUAAAAGCUGCUAUUAGACAUGCUGAUAAGCUUUACAUAUCAUUUGAUAAAACAAGGCUUUUAGGUAAGUUGAAUAUGAUAAGAUGAAAAGAAACAGUAUAAUUAUUAGAUGAAAGAAAAAUUAUUAUUAAAAGUUUUUAGAUGAUUCUUAAAUUUUUAUUUUCACUUUCUUUGCAAUUGUUUCAGCUCCUCCUGAAGACAGAUAAAGACAUGGAGAAAUAAGAGAAGGUUAAAUCCUUUCAUUAUUACCCAUGUUUUUGUGCGUGACUCAUCUUCAGAUGAAAAGAUUGCUUCCAACCCACUAUGUGCACAUGAAGAAGGAGCUGUCAGCACACAGGAAACUACUGGUUAUGAUCUUUCUGGAUGCAGACAGACUUCACCUGAGGGUGCUGUAAGAGUUGGCCAACAUGAGAGCUACCCACCAUCUUCACCUGGGUGAUGAGGGUGCCUGGUGCCUGGGAAUUGGCUACUGCUGCACCUCUAGGCAAGGCAGGAAGCUGUAUGUGAGAACCUACCGGGCAGUAACCUGAGCUGCUGAAAAACCAUGGAACACAGCCUCCUGAAAUACACUGAUAAAUGUUUUCUUCGUUGCUCAUUAAUAGCUGAAGAAGAAUGGACAGGACAAAUGGACCAUUUGACUGAUUGAAAACUGGCUGUCUUUACAAGUUUAAGGUACACAAUGGAUCAGGGUCCAGCCGCUGGCUCACAGAAAGCAAAAGUAUCCCAGAGGCCAAAAGGAACUGUGCUAAACUGAAAGGAGUGCUGACAUGCCUUGUGGCAGGCAGGAUUUCAGUCAAAACCUGAAGCUCAUUCUUCCAGAUGCUGGGAUAAAGGGUCCAGAUGUGGGCACCCUCUUCUGCAAGAGGAGUAUUAAGAAAAUCUAGAGAGGUCAGAGCGCUGUGAGGUGGUCAGGAGCCCAGAUCACACAGCCUGUCAGAAGCUGAGGGAACAAGGCCUGUUCCAGCUGAUGAAGCAGGGAUACUGAUCAGUGAAUUUCAGAAGAUGAAAUCAACACUUCCCAAGAACUGCAACAGAAUACAUAUUUGGCUGCAUGCUGAGAUUAGAAGCCAAUUUUUGUUUUGAUAUGCCAGUCUGAAAACUCUGCUAACUUAUGCAUGGAAAAGCAAAUCAAACCACCAUGUUUUAGAAGGCUUUGAAACAAACAGAGAUGCCAAGAAUUCUUUUGGAAUUAUGAUAUCAUAAGUAACAAAAAUAAAACUGCUACUAAAUAGGUAAACCAAAUGUUGAUCAUCUGGCUUACAAGCUGUGAAGGUAAAUGAGUUUUACAUUUAUUUACCUGUGUAUGUCAAAUAGAUGACACUCAGGAAUACAGUACCAGCAGCUAGUGAGACACCCAAGAAGAACAAUGUCUGAAAUUCUUGCUUUGUUAACCUGUCUCUCAGAUACUGCAAAAACGCAUAAGCCUGCAGCAGUGCAAAAACACCUAUGGAAAGAGGAAAGUUCUUAUUUAAAUGCUCAAAAGCAGUACACCUGUUAAAGCAACCAGCAUAUUUGCCAAUAUUUGAAUUGGAAAAAUAAACGUAAGGUACACCCUAACAUCUAGAAACUAGUAUAACAUCACUCUCUUAUAAAUAACCUUUAAUACUUAACAGACAUGACAUUUGCAAAACCAGAAACUGCCAAUGAGAUAAAAUAUUCUAAAGGAGAGAAUCCCCUGAAAAGCAGAUUGCAUUGAUUAUGACAAGAAUACAGGGUAACAUACCUAGCUAGAUGUGGUAAAAAAUUAAGAGACAGAUUUCAGGCAACACACUAUGCUAAUACAGAAAUAUAUACAAACUAAGUUACUGAGUAAAACAGGAGGAAUUAAUGAAAUAAAAAACCAAACCAAGUAAGUAUUAAGUCAACUGAAUUAUAUAAAGGUAGUGUUGAAACACCAGAAUUCAAUGGUGAAGCACCCAACACACUCAAAAAGGCUGUUCAGAGUUUUAACAUUAAACCCAGAACUUGGACACGGUAUUUCAAUUAUUAUUCAUUUCACGGUAUAUAGUCAGAUCAAUCCACUGAUGAAUCCUUUCAAAAGUGAAAAUUCAAUGCUGGCUGAUAGAGGAAUAAAAUAAACCAAAAGUGUAUCACCUUUCUUCAAAUUAACAAGGAAUUCAAAGUACACAAUGAAAUUCACUAGGUCUGACUUCAUAGAGAAAGACAAAAAUCCCAUUCAGUAAAUAAAUGUAAGAAAUCUUCAGAAUCCAAA